CGGAACGGGUGAGUAACGCGUGAGGAACCUGCCUCAAAGAGGGGGACAACAGUUGGAAACGACUGCUAAUACCGCAUAAGCCCACGGCUCGGCAUCGAGCAGAGGGAAAAGGAGUGAUCCGCUUUGAGAUGGCCUCGCGUCCGAUUAGCUAGUUGGCGAGGUAACGGCCCACCAAGGCGACGAUCGGUAGCCGGACUGAGAGGUUGAACGGCCACAUUGGGACUGAGACACGGCCCAG
rnacentral:rRNA from 1 species